CAAAUUUAAAUCUAACCUGUAAAUUUAAUGUACCAAUUGUAUUGUUUUGGUAUACAGGUCCUUAGUGCAUAUAUACAUUCUAUUAGAGAUGAAGAGCAUAUACUUCAUAGAGAAGGUGGAAAGGUCUUCUUAGAGAGCACGUUCAUUUCCAGCUUGCUUAAGCGUGAUGGUGAUCCUAAGAUACUCUUGAAUUGUAAGGAAGACACACUUGAAAACAGGGUGGACAACUAUUUACAAGCUGACAUGGUUAACUUAAAAAUCAACUCAUUCUAAGACAUGUAAUAUAUUGGUGCACAACACUUGCAAAUUAAUUUUAAUGCAUAUGUUCGAUGCAGGUGUUCAUUCCAAUAAACAUAGAAAAUUUUCACUGGUACCUGGCGAUUGUCAAUGCUAAAAAAAAUGAGGUACAUAUACUCGAUUCUAUGGGACCACAAAUAACGGAUCGUCGAGACCUUUAUACUACAGUGAGUAAUUAUUCCUUAUAUAUAUAUGUGAUUAUUUUAGCAUUACAUUAUUUGCUAUCUUUCAAUCUUAAAAUUUUAUUUGUUUGCCACAUAGUUAAAAGGUCUAGAAAGACAGAUUAAAAUUGUAGCAGAACAUAAAGAACUUAACCGGGAUAAGUGGUCAGACAUUGAUGUUACAUCAUGGCCAGUUAUAGAAAAGAUUACAAAGCAAAUGCAAACCGAUGGGUAAAAUUCUUGUGACCAUUACUUUACAGAAUUGAUUGUGUUUGUUUUCAUAUACAUAGAAACUCACCUAUUGUUUUUAAAUUAUGUUUAGGGUUUCUUGCGGUCUAUGGAUGGUGAACUAUAUGGAAUAUUGGACAGGGUCUUCUCUGUCUAAUAACAUAACUCAGAACGAUAUAACAAAGUUUAGAUUUAAGCUACCUGCAAUAUUGUGGAACUCAAGAUUAAACACAAAGAAAGGACAUCAAGAGACUAACCAUCAUGCAGAUGAAGAUGGAGGAAGUUCAUGUGAUGUUGAGAUAAUCAAGACUCCUUGUGAGUUACCUAUAUCAUUAAAUGCAUCAUCCCAGGUUCAACCAUUUAUAUCGUCAUGUGCUCUGCCCGCUACAUUAACAUCAACAAACACACAAGAACUGAUGAGUGCAUUAUGCACAUACAUCAUGGAGAUAGACGACGCCGAAUAUUUGGAGAAACAUUGGAUUCAGAGCACCAAGCCUUAUCCAAUUUCUUUAAGUCUUCAACAGCUUAAAAAUAUAUUGGAUGUAAAUAAACCGAUGGAUAAGGAUUGCUUCAACAUAGCUGUUCGGAUGAUCGCAUGCAGUGAUGCCUUGUUCUUGUUGGAAAACAAAUACCACUACAUGGAUCUACAGUUCUGUGUAUGUUGAUUAGUGAUUAAACUGUUUUCAUAUAAAUAUGAUCAUUAUAUUACUAUA